CGGCUGUAGCUAAAUUAAUUCAGAAGUUUUACUGGCCGGUUGUCGUUAUUUUCAGUCGAUAAAUCUGCUUACCGAACUUCAUAAAUCU
rnacentral:snoRNA from 2 species